GCGUCAGUAGUGUAACGGUUUAGAGCACGUGCUCCCGGACAGAGUAAGGUGUGGGUUCUAGUCCCGCUUGACGCG